rnacentral:rRNA from 1 species
AAUACUUAGUGGCAGACGGGUGAGUAACAUGUGGGUAUCUUCCCUUUGGUGAGGAAUAACACGAGGAAACUUGUGCUAAUACCUCAUAAGUCUUUACGGAGAAAGCUUUAUGCGCCAUUGGAUGAGCCCGCACUUGAUUAGUUUGUUGGUGGGGUAAUGGCCUACCAAGACUUUGAUCAAUAGCUGAUUUGAGAGGAUGAUCAGCCACAUUGGGAUUGAGACACGGCCCAAACUCCUACGGGAGGCAGCAGUAGGGAAUCUUGCACAAUGGAGGAAACUCUGAUGCAGCGAUGCCGCGUGAGUGAAGAAGGCCCUUGGGUUGUAAAGCUCUUUCGUCGGGGAAGAAAAUGACUGUACCCGAAUAAGAAGGUCCGGCUAACUUCGUGCCAGCAGCCGCGGUAAUACGAAGGGACCUAGCGUAGUUCGGAAUUACUGGGCUUAAAGAGUUCGUAGGUGGUUAAAAAAGUUGGUGGUGAAAGCCCAGAGCUUAACUCUGGAACUGCCAUCAAAACUUUUUAGCUAGAGUAUGAUAGAGGAAAGCAGAAUUUCUAGUGUAGAGGUGAAAUUCGUAGAUAUUAGAAAGAAUACCAAUUGCGAAGGCAGCUUUCUGGAUCAUUACUGACACUGAGGAACGAAAGCAUGGGUAGCG